GAGGGUAUAGCUCAGUGGUAGAGCACGUGCCUAGCAUGCACAAGAUCCUGAGUUCAAUCCCCAGUACUGCCA
rnacentral:tRNA from 1 species